rnacentral:rRNA from 1 species
AUUGAACGCUGGCGGCAGGCCUUACACAUGCAAGUCGAACGAGUGGCGGACGGGUGAGUAAUAUCUGGGAACGUGCCUGAUGGCGGGGGAUAACUACUGGAAACGGUAGCUAAUACCGCAUACCAUUAGAUCGGCCCAGAUGGGAUUAGCUGGUUGGUGGGGUAACGGCUCACCAAGGCAACGAUCCCUAGCUGGUCUGAGAGGAUGACCAGCCACACUGGGACUGAGACACGGUCCAGACUCCUACGGGAGGCAGCAGUGGGGAAUAUUGGACAAUGGGGGAAAGCCUGAUGCAGCCAUGCCGCGUGUAUGAAGAAGGCCUUCGGGUUGUAAAGUACUUUUAGCAGGGAGGCGUUACCCGCAGAAGAAGCACCGGCUAACUCCGUGCCAGCAGCCGCGGUAAUAC